rnacentral:rRNA from 1 species
ACGGGUGAGUAAUAUAUCGGAACGUACCCUGGAGUGGGGGAUAACGUAGCGAAAGUUGCGCUAAUACCGCAUACGAUCUAAGGAUGAAAGUGGGGGAUCGCAAGACCUCAUGCUCCUGGAGCGGCCGAUAUCUGAUUAGCUAGUUGGUGGGGUAAAGGCCUACCAAGGCAUCGAUCAGUAGCUGGUCUGAGAGGACGACCAGCCACACUGGAACUGAGACACGGUCCAGACUCCUACGGGAGGCAGCAGUGGGGAAUUUUGGACAAUGGGCGAAAGCCUGAUCCAGCAAUGCCGCGUGAGUGAAGAAGGCCUUCGGGUUGUAAAGCUCUUUUGUCAGGGAAGAAACGGUGAGGGCUAAUAUCUCUUGCUAAUGACGGUACCUGAAGAAUAAGCACCGGCUUACUACGUGCCAGCAGCCGCGGUAAUACGUAGGGUGCAAGCGUUAAUCGGAAUUACUGGGCGUAAAGCGUGCGCAGGCGGUUUUGUAAGUCUGUCGUGAAAUCCCCGGGCUCAACCUGGGAAUUGCGAUGGAGACUGCAAGGCUAGAAUCUGGCAGAGGGGGGUAGAAUUCCACGUGUAGCAGUGA